GCAAGUCGAACGCUGAUGCCCCCGCUUGCUGGGGUGGAUGAGUGGCGAACGGGUGACUAACACGUGAUUAACCUUCCCUUGACUCUGGGAUAAGCCCGGGAAACUGGGUCUAAUACCGGAUACGACCUCCUGCCGCAUGGUGUGGGGGUGGAAAGAUUUAUCGGUUUUGGAUGGACUCGCGGCCUAUCAGCUUGUUGGUGAGGUAAUGGCUCACCAAGGCGACGACGGGUAGCCGGCCUGAGAGGGUGACCGGCCACACUGGGACUGAGACACGGCCCAGACUCCUACGGGAGGCAGCAAUGGGGAAUAUUGCACAAUGGGCGCAAGCCUGAUGCACCGACGCCGCGUGAGGGAUGACGGCCUUCGGGUUGUAAACCUCUUUCAGUAGGGAAGAAGCGGAAGUGACGGUACCUGCAAAAGAAGCGCCGGAUAACUACCUGCCAUCAUCCGCGGCAAUACGUAGGGCGCGAGCGUUAUCCGGAAUUAUUGGGCGUAAAGAGCUCGUAGGCGGUUUGUCGCGUCUGCCGUGAAAGUCCGGGGCUUAACCCCGGAUCUGCGGUGGGUACGGGCAGACUAUAGUGCAUUAGGGGAGACUGUAAUUCCUGGUGUAGCGGUGAAAUGCGCAGAUAUCACGAGGAACACCGAUGGUGACGGUAGGUCUCUGGUCUGUUACUGACGCUGAGGAGCGAAAGCAUGGUGAGCGAACAGGAUUAUAUACCCUGGUAGUCCAUGCCGUAAAUGUUUGGCACUAGGUGUGGGGGACGUUUCUCGUUUUCCGCUCCGCAGCUCACGUAUUAAGUGCCANGCCUGGGGAGUACGGCCGCAAGGCUAAAACUCAAAGGCAUUGUCGGGGGCCUGCACAACUGGCGGAGCAUGUCGUUUAAUUCUAUGCAACGCGAAGAACCUUACCAGGGCU
rnacentral:rRNA from 1 species